GUUAAAAAAUAAUGGUUCUAUUUGAUGUUGUAAGAUGUUUGAUAUUUAGAUAAGAUGAUAAUGUUAUGCUUACUGCCUCUACUGUAUUGUACUGUUAUCAGUCUUUUCUUCUGUAUGUUCAACAACUGGGACCAACAAUUAGAGAGAGAUGGCCUAAGAGGACAACCAAUAUUUUGGCCUUAACCCUCCAAGAUCAGUGCAAAUUCAGGACACAGGAGAAACUCUGCUGCGUCAUCCUAUACUCGUUGAAUUCCUCCAAGAACAUAAGAUCUGAGUCUUUAGCAGUUUGUGUGCCAGCCUGGAACUAUCCCUGCGAAAGCCUCCAUGACUGUGGACCCUUUAAAAGCUACAAGUGGCUUGGAUUUGGAGACGCCUGAUAAGAAGUGUGAGAUUCAUGCCAGGAAGACCCAAGGGUCAGCGGUGGAAGCCAGAAAGUCCAUGCCAGCAGGAUGAAGGAGCUGUGCUAGUGGGAUGAGGGUUCUACACUGGAGCCGAGAAGUCACACUCACAACAAAGAGCGGGGCUGUCCUGAAAGGAACCACAGCUGUCCUCAGCGACACGGAGGCCCCGAGCUCCUCCGACGACAAGCACAGUCGGGAACAUGCCAGGAAGCAGCCUGAGGAGUUCACCCUGGAGGCCAGGCAGCACAUGUCUUCCUCUCCAGAGCCAGGAAGCAAUGCUCGAUGUGAAGACCAAAGCUUCUCCAGGAGAACCAACAGCUCAGACAGCAACUUGUAGGAGAACUAACAAUGCCUCCAUAACGCCUCAAUCCCUCUCCUCACCUCUCUUCUUCUCCACCUAUUUAUCAUGGCAACCCUUCUCAGGUGGAGCAUCUUCUCUCAAUGCUUGCUGAUGCAUUCCAGCUGGCAAUUAAG
rnacentral:lncRNA from 1 species